AUGGCCUGCAGAAUUCACACUGAAAACGACGGCUGCUUAUGCGGGGCCCAGGGACCCACGGCCUCCCUUCCUUCCCCAGCAUGAGGUCCGGAGAGCUGCAACAGCGUUAAAUGAUACAAGUUUUUAAAAAGAAAAGAAUGAAGUGGUGAAUAAAGAUGAAAAAGAAAAAAGUACAAGCAGCAGCUUCCAGUCUUCUUUACGGCAAUUACCAACUAGCCAGUUUGGUUCAUGAAACGUCCACAAGAAAACCAGCAAAGUCAGAGACGCACCAGGAACUCCACAGUUCAACCCUGAAGUGCGGCAGAGGUUCUCUUCUGCGGCUACAAAUAAACUUAAUAUCCUCUCUUUUUAA